CCAUCCCCAGCGGUCACUUCACGCGUUAGCUACGUUACUAAGUCAAUGAAGACCCAACAACUAGUUGACAUCGUUUAGGGCGUGGACUACCAGGGUAUCUAAUCCUGUUUGCUCCCCACGCUUUCGUGCAUGAGCGUCAGUAUUGGCCCAGGGGGCUGCCUUCGCCAUCGGUAUUCCUCCACAUCUCUACGCAUUUCACUGCUACACGUGGAAUUCUACCCCCCUCUGCCAUACUCUAGCCCGCCAGUCACAAAUGCAGUUCCCAGGUUAAGCCCGGGGAUUUCACAUCUGUCUUAGCGGACCGCCUGCGCACGCUUUACGCCCAGUAAUUCCGAUUAACGCUUGCACCCUACGUAUUACCGCGGCUGCUGGCACGUAGUUAGCCGGUGCUUAUUCUUCCGGUACCGUCAUCCUCCCACCGUAUUAGGGCAGAAGUUUUCUUUCCGGACAAAAGUGCUUUACAACCCGAAGGCCUUCUUCACACACGCGGCAUUGCUGGAUCAGGCUUUCGCCCAUUGUCCAAAAUUCCCCACUGCUGCCUCCCGUAGGAGUCUGGGCCGUGUCUCAGUCCCAGUGUGGCUGGUCGUCCUCUCAGACCAGCUACAGAUCGUCGCCUUGGUAGGCCUUUACCCCACCAACUAGCUAAUCUGCCAUCGGCCGCCCCUGUAGCGGGAGGUCCUAAGAUCCCCCCCUUUCCUCCGUAGAGCGUAUGCGGUAUUAAUCCGGCUUUCGCCGGGCUAUCCCCCACUACAGGACACGUUCCGAUGUAUUACUCACCCGUUCGCCACUCGCCACCAGGUUGCCCCCGUGCUGCCGUUCGACUUGCAUGUGUAAGGCAUGCCGCCAGCGUUCAUCUGGAC
rnacentral:rRNA from 1 species